rnacentral:rRNA from 1 species
AUUGAACGCUGGCGGCAGGCCUAACACAUGCAAGUCGAGCGGCAGCGGGAAAGUAGCUUGCUACUUUUGCCGGCGAGCGGCGGACGGGUGAGUAAUGCCUGGGAAAUUGCCCAGUCGAGGGGGAUAACAGUUGGAAACGACUGCUAAUACCGCAUACGCCCUACGGGGGAAAGCAGGGGACCUUCGGGCCUUGCGCGAUUGAAUAUGCCCAGGGGGGAUUAGCUAGUUGGUGAGGUAAUGGCUCACCAAGGCGACGAUCCCUAGCUGGUCUGAGAGGGUGAUCAGCCACACUGGAACUGAGACACGGUCCAGACUCCUACGGGAGGCAGCAGUGGGGAAUAUUGCACAAUGGGGGAAACCCUGAUGCAGCCAUGCCGCGUGUGUGAAGAAGGCCUUCGGGUUGUAAAGCACUUUCAGCGAGGAGGAAAGGUUGAUGCCUAAUACGUAUCAACUGUGACGUUACUCGCAGAAGAAGCACCGGCUAACUCCGUGCCAGCCGCCGCGGUAAUAC